AUACGGAGGGUGCAAGCGUUAUUCGGAAUCACUGGGCGUAAAGGACGCGUAGGCGGGUUGGCAAGUCAGAUGUGAAAUCCUACAGCUUAACUGUAGAACUGCAUUUGAAACUGCUAACCUAGAGUAUGGGAGGGGGAGAUGGAAUUAGUGGUGUAGGGGUAAAAUCCGUAGAUGUCACUAGGAAUACCGAAAGCGAAGGCGAUCUCCUGGAACAUAGCUGACGCUAAGGCGUGAAAGCGUGGGGAGCAAACAGGAUUAGAUACCCUAGUAGUCC
rnacentral:rRNA from 1 species